CAGUAUGAUCAUGAUGACGAUGUUGAUGAUACUGCUGCUGCUGCUGUCUGUACUACGCAAUACCAAUGGCCACCAAGAAGUCAAGACACUCUGGAGAAGACUCCAAAGACCUCUGAGGGUACUGAGAUGACCAGUGUAGAAGAGACCAAUAAGCUACCUCACCUACUGCCUAGCACAUGGCUGGGGGUGGUGCUUCCUGCCUCAGCUUGGGCCUGGCACACAGUCGGUAUUUGGGCAUGGAGCUGGCACCAUCACUUCCCACCGAGAUGCACAAACAAAAUGUCUGAGCAGCUUUCUCCCAAUCCUGGGCCUUCCCUCCACCCCAGGAACCCAGCACCUCACUUUGUCCCACUGUGUGGCCCCCUGCCCCACACUGGCCUUCCCUGCAGGGGCCCACACGCCAUCAACCCUCGUCUCCCCCACUGCAGGCUGGGGGCACCAGUGGCGGCUGACCUGGGUACUGGUUCACUGGACACAGAGGCUUUGGCCAAGGCACUGCCGCCUGCUGAGCUUCGGUUUCCUGGCCUGUAAAAUGGGGCUAUAAUCUCUGUCUGCUUCAGGACUUAAUGUGAAGCGGCUGUGCAAACUGUGGAGUGCGGUGCCAUGAAGCUCUGGUGCAGACCUACUCUGAGCACCUGCCUAGACUUUCUUACAGUGGUGUCCUCCCUAGCUUGGGCUCCUUGGGCAGUGAGGUGGGCUGGGGCAGGUGAGCCUCUCCAACAGACAUUGAAACACCUGCAACCCUGGGGCCUGGGGUGGUGGCUCACGCCUGUAAUUCCAACACUUUGGGAGGCCAAGGUGGGA
rnacentral:antisense_RNA from 1 species